CCUACGGGCGGCAGCAGUGGGGAAUCUUCCGCAAUGGACGAAAGUCUGACGGAGCAACGCCGCGUGAGUGAAGAAGGUUUUCGGAUCGUAAAACUCUGUUUUCAGGGACGAAUGUGCGAAGUGUAAAUAAUGCUUUGUAAUGACGGUACCUGAGUAGAAAGCCACGGCUAACUACGUGCCAGCAGCCGCGGUAAUACGUAGGUGGCAAGCGUUGUCCGGGAUUGUUGGGCGUAGAGCGCACGCAGGGUGUUAAAGUUCGGGGCUCAACCCCGGGAAGCAUUUGGAAACUGAUAUUCUUGAGUGCAGGAGAGGAAAGUGGAAUUCCUAGUGUAGCGGUGAAAUGCGUAGAUAUUAGGAGGAACACCAGUGGCGAAGGCGACUUUCUGGACUGUGUCUGACACUGAGGCGCGAAAGCUAGGGUAGUGAACAGGAUUAGAUACCCCUGUAGUC
rnacentral:rRNA from 1 species